ensembl:lncRNA
GAACCUGUCCGACUCCUUCAGACUGAAUCUCAAAUCGAUUCAAAUCUGUUUGCUGACUCGUAUGACCGAUUCAUUGAAAAGAACCAAUUAAAAAGAAUGAAUUAUUCGCGAACGGGGCAUCGUUAGUUCCAAUUAUAAACAGCUGGCAGAAUAUAGUCACACGAGUUUACUGACUUCUUUAUUGAACUUUUCCGACCAUAGUGACAGAAAGUGAAGUAAAUAUAAAGAUGCCGACACCCAUAUUAUUGUAAAGUCUUAUCACAGUUGUCCAAAUAGAGGCGCGAGUUCACUCGUCAAUUAAUCGACACAAGCUUCGUGAGAGGAAAGCGCUCGAGUCAUGAACACUAAACUGAUGAAAGCGGCUGAGCUGGAGGACCUCAAACCUGCAGAUGCCACACAACUCACACAGUGUCUCCGCAUCUACCCUCGAGAAGGCAUUGAACAAGCCUCUCCUUCUGUGUCCUUUGGGUGGCGCUGUGGUACAGGACAGCAUGUAUCGCUCAAUAAAUCAGGAUGAAGAACGGAACAGCUUGGGGUUUGUCCUUUUAUUGCUUUGUCUCGACCUGCUGUAAGUCUUUUCCGGUUGCGUAAUUGGACAAUUUUUUUGAACACAGUUGUUGUGUGCUUAUAGGGAACGUUGUGUCCUAUGGCUAAAUUUAUUUGCCAAAAUGUUCAGAAUCUUGAGAAGAAAAAAAAGUGUGUUAAUUAUUAAUAUGAAUGUGAUUAUUUUAUAUGGUUUUACACUAUCAGUCAAAAGCUUUUGAACAUUAAGAUUUUCAAUGUUUUUUUUUGUUUUUUUUUUUUUAAAGAAAUCUCUUCUGCUCACCAAGCCUGCAUUUAUUUGAUCCAAGAGUACAGCAAAAAAAAAAAAUAUAUUUUACCAUUUAAAAUAACUUUUCUAUUUGAAUAUAUUUUACAAUGUCAUUUAUUCCUGUGAUUUCGAAGCUGAUUUUUUUGCAGUCACAUGAUCCUUCAGAAAUCAUUCUAAUAUUCUGUUUUGGUGCUCAAAAAACAUUUGUUAUUAUUAUUAUUAGUAGUAGUAGUAGUAGUAGUAUGUUGUAAACAGUUGAUUUUUAUCCCCCAGGUUUCUUUGAUGAAUAUAUUGUUCAGAAGAACAGCAUUUAUCUGAAAUAGAAGUCUUUUGUAACAUUAUAAAUGUCUUUAUCAUCACUUUUGAUGAAUUUAAAGCAUCCUUGCUAAAUAAAAGUUAUAAUUUCUUUAUAAAUUAAAAAAAA